GUCGAUGGCCAUACCAUCUUGAACAUGCCCAAUCUCUGAUCUCAGAAGCUAAGCAGGGUCGGGCCUGGUUAGUACUUGGAUGGGGAGUUCACAGUUUAUAGAAGUUUCAGUCCAUAAUUGGCU
ensembl:rRNA 5S_rRNA 5S ribosomal RNA